rnacentral:rRNA from 1 species
UACGAAGGGGGCUAGCGUUGCUCGGAAUGACUGGGCGUAAAGGGCGCGUAGGCGGAUGGCUUUGUCGGGCGUGAAAUUCCAGGGCUUAACCUUGGGGCUGCGUUCGAGACGGGUUGUCUUGAGUGGGGAAGAGGGUCGUGGAAUUCCCAGUGUAGAGGUGAAAUUCGUAGAUAUUGGGAAGAACACCGGUGGCGAAGGCGGCGACCUGGUCCAAGACUGACGCUGAGGCGCGAAAGCGUGGGGAGCAAACAGG